GAUGAACGCUGGCGGCGUGCCUCAUGCAUGCAAGUCGAACGGGAACACUUUUGGUAGCAAUACUAGGGGUGUUCUAGUGGCGAUCGGGUGAGUAACACGUAGGUGACCUGCCCCGAAGAGAGGGAUAACGGCCCGAAAGGGCUGCUAAUACCUCAUGUGAUCGGCGAUUCGGUUGUCGAUUAAAGUUUCCGCAAGGAGUAUGC
rnacentral:rRNA from 1 species